UAAGACGUAGGGGGCGAGCGUUGUCCGGAUUUAUUGGGCGUAAAGCGUGCGUAGGCGGCUGCGCAAGUCGGGUGUGAAACCCCGGGGCUCAACCCCGGAACUGCAUCCGAUACUGCGUGGCUAGAGGUAGGUAGGGGAGAUCGGAAUUCCUGGUGUAGCGGUGAAAUGCGCAGAUAUCAGGAGGAACACCGGUGGCGAAGGCGGAUCUCUGGGCCUUACCUGACGCUCAGG
rnacentral:rRNA from 1 species